rnacentral:rRNA from 1 species
AUACGUAGGUGGCAAGGCGUUGUCCGGAUUUACUGGGCGUAAAGGGAGCGUAGGUGGAUAUUUAAGUGGGAUGUGAAAUACCCGGGCUUAACCUGGGUGCUGCAUUCCAAACUGAAUAUCUAGAGUGCAGGAGAGGAAAGGAGAAUUCCUAGUGUAGCGGUGAAAUGCGUAGAGAUUAGGAAGAAUACCAGUGGCGAAGGCGCCUUUCUGGACUGUAACUGACACUGAGGCUCGAAAGCGUGGGGAGC